rnacentral:rRNA from 1 species
GGAAUUGACGGGGACCCGCACAAGCGGUGGAUGAUGUGGAUUAAUUCGAUGCAACGCGAAGAACCUUACCUACCCUUGACAUGUCCGGAACUUGCCAGAGAUGGCUUGGUGCCCGAAAGGGAAUCGGAACACAGGUGCUGCACGGCUGUCGUCAGCUCGUGUCGUGAGAUGUUGGGUUAAGUCCCACAACGAGCGCAACCCUUAUCAUUAGUUGCUACGCAAGGGCACUCUAAUGAGACUGCCGGUGACAAACCGGAGGAAGGUGGGGAUGACGUCAAGUCAGCAUGGCCCUUACGUCCAGGGCUACACACGUGCUACAAUGGUCGGUACAGAGGGAAGCAAUACCGCGAGGUGGAGCAAAUCCCAUAAAGCCGGCCUCAGUUCAGAUCGGAGGCUGCAACUCGCCUCCGUGAAGGCGGAAUCGCUAGUAAUCGCGGAUCAGCAGGCCGCGGUGAAUACGUUCCCGGGCCUU